UCCCUGGUGGCUUAGAUGGUAAAGAAUCUGCCUGCAAUGCAGGAGACACGGGUUCGAUCCCAGAUUGGGAAG
rnacentral:tRNA from 1 species